GGGCCUAGUGGUUAGAGCGCCCGCCUCGGAUGCAGGAGGUCGUGGGUUCGAUCCCCGGUCGAGACA